rnacentral:snoRNA from 1 species
GUUUUCUAAGUGAUGAUGAAAAUUUUUAUUGCAUAGUUCAACUGAAAAUUCAUGACAGAAAAAAAUUACCAUCGAAAUUAGUCUUUCACCCCUAUCUGAUACCAAAC